rnacentral:rRNA from 1 species
CGGGAAACUGGGGAUAAUACCCCAUAGGUUAGGGUGGCUGGAAUGCCCCCUAGCUCAAAGGUCCGCCGCCACAGGAUGGGUCUGCGGCCGAUUAGGUUGUUGUUGGGGUAACGGCCCAACAAGCCUUUGAUCGGUACGGGUUGUGGGAGCAAGAGCCCGGAGAUGGAUUCUGAGACACGAAUCCAGGCCCUACGGGGCGCAGCAGGCGCGAAAACUUUACAAUGCGAGCAAUCGUGAUAAGGGAACCCCGAGUGCCACGAAAGGCGGGAUGUCCGCCAGUGCAAAAAACUGGUGAAGAAAGAGCCGGGCAAGACCGGUGCCAGCCGCCGCGGUAACA